UCCCUGGUGGUCCAGUGGUUAGGACUCAGUGCUUCCACUGCAGGGGCCACAGGUUCUAUUCCUGGUUGGGGAA
rfam:Ovis aries breed Texel chromosome 10, whole genome shotgun sequence.